ensembl:lncRNA
GAAGGAUCAUUUCCGGUUUUAUGGCUAAAUCUGCGCCUACUUUUCCACAACCUAUGGCCACAGACCAGGUGUCUUCAAGAACAUGUUGAUAAAAGAGGUUGAGGAGGCAAAAAGGGACCAGAGUGGGAACUUUUUGAUCAACGUGGAGAAACACAAAACCAACAAGGAGUUGGUUGGAAUUCUAUAGGUUCCUGAGGGGAGGGGGGAGAAAACACAGCACUUUUUCUUCAAUUCCCGGAACUCUGACCUCAAGAAUCUCCCCACCUACCUGAGGGAGGUAUGGAAGGAGAUGGGCUUGCCUGGAAGCCCCACCUUCACUGACAUACGGACCUCAAUCUCAACUCAUUGCAAAAAAGGACCGGGAGACAGUGACACCAGGACGGCGGACAGGUUUUACGCCAUCAGCCUCAACCCGACCCAGGC